GCUCCUAUAGCUCAGUUGGUUAGAGCACCUGACUCAUAAUCAGGGGGUCCCAGGAUCAUGCCCUGGUGGGAGCA
rfam:Chitinophaga eiseniae strain DSM 22224 genome assembly, contig: Ga0070509_102